CAAAAGUAAAAUCAUACUUGCACACAAUUCCCGCAUAAAAGCAUAGAGAAUGCACACAUAAGCACAUUCUGCAAUAAUGGAUCAAUAAAUUCGAAUAAAGUGCCACAAUAAAAAAGUCCCCAUCACACAGAAUGCAAACUUUUGCGCAUGAUUAACCGAAGAGAAAAAAAAGCUCAAUAAAGUUGUGCGAGAUGGCAUAAAAUGGCAAGAGAUGGAAUUUUAUGGGUGCCUCACGAACUAAAAGCUGUACCGAUCGUAAAUUUUGCUCGCGGGAUUUUUCUUUAUGACUUCCUCGCAGCUUUUUGAGGUGCUUUUCGUACGCCAGAUGCAGCGAGAAAAAUCUAGCACAUUUGCGAAAGGUGCUCCAAAAGCACUACCAUCCUUGACACUCCUGCCGUUAAACUUUGAUGAUGGCUCCGUGGGCGUCUCACUAUGUGAGCUUUCUGCACUCUCAGGUGCUUUGAUGUUGCCACAGAAAUCCAUUGAGAUGUGCAGUGAAUGUGGUUGCUAACAAAGAAGCAUCCGUUGGGGUUUUAUUUUUUUUUUUGAAAAGUUUUUUAGAUGGAAGAUGUUUGAAUGCCGCGCAUGAUGUCCGCCAUUUUGUUGAGCCUAACAAAACGGCGGACGAUUUGUUAUAGAAAAACCCUCCUUUCAAUCAACAGCACCUCUCGUGGUGAGCACUUUCAUUGAAUUUUUACAUGACCGCAAAAUUGUGAAGAAUCAGUUAAAAUCAUAAUUUUAUGCUAAACCAGGUGUGCUACAUCGCUGAACGUACUUCCAAACUAUGAAAAGACAAAAAAACGCUCUAUUGAAAAAAACGGUUUUUCACAACCACCACCUUCCUCCCAGUUAAAGACACACCAAAGUGCAAGAAACCACUUUGGCGGAGUGACAGGUGAAUUUGCAUCGUGAAACUCACCUCAUUUGCGACCAUUGUACCCAAACAUUCCAUCGCUUGUGAUCGAUGGAAGUGAGGAAAUCGACAGUAGUGGAAAAUCCGCAGUGCGAUUGCUCAAGAUGCCAAAGAUCUCCAUAAGAGUUGCGUACAUACCUAUAAAUUGCCCAAUCGCUGUGAGAAAUUCACACGAAUCGCACGGGGGCUUGCAUUUGUAUGCACAGAGUACCCAACCCCUUGCCAUAUGUACUGAAAUAAAUUUAAAAAAAAAUU